rnacentral:rRNA from 1 species
CCUACGGGAGGCAGCAGUAAGGAAUAUUGGACAAUGGUCGCAAGACUGAUCCAGCCAUGCCGCGUGCAGGGUGACAGCCCUAUGGGUCGUAAACUGCUUUUGUGCGAGAAAAAACCCUUCUACGUGUAGAGGGCUGAUUGUAUCGUAAGAAUAAGGAUCGGCUAACUCCGUGCCAGCAGCCGCGGUAAUACGGAGGAUCCAAGCGUUAUCCGGAUUCAUUGGGUUUAAAGGGUGCGUAGGCGGAAUAAUAAGUCAGUGGUGAAAGCCUGCAGCUUAACUGCAGAACUGCCAUUGAUACUGUUGUUCUUGAGUACAUUUGAUGUGGGCGGAAUGUGUCAUGUAGCGGUGAAAUGCUUAGAUAUGACACAGAACACCGAUUGCGAAGGCAGCUCACAAAACUGUAACUGACGCUGAGGCACGAAAGCGUGGGUAUCAAACAGGAUUAGAUACCCUGGUAGUCCACGCUGUAAACUAUGAUUACUCGAUGUUUGCGAUACACUGUAAGCGUCCAAGCGAAAGCGUUAAGUAAUCCACCUGGGGAGUACGNUCGCAAGAGUGAAACUUAAAGAUAGUAGACGNGNGAGNGCGACGAGCACAGGGAGGAGGAG